CAUUAAUGGGGGGAAUGAGAAAUUCACCCCACGUCCUAAGCUGUUAUUUUUGCUAUUUUUGGGUGUACUAAGUUGGUUAAAAACAUCAAAACCCCUAUUCUAAGUCAUUAUUCAUAAUUAGACCUCCCUCUCAAAAACAAAUAUUCUCUAGAAACCUUUAUUGGAGAUGAAGCUCAAGAACAUCCUUGGUGAUGGAUUCUCAAGCUUUCUUCUUCAAUUUUUCGUGUAUUUUUCAUGUAAUGAGAUAUGGUGAUCCUUCAUCCUUAUUUAUUCAUUCAUCUAAGGAGUUCCUUCAAAAGGUGAUGAUGACUAGAGGAUAUAUCCUAAAUUUAAGGGCUUUGAUAGCUUCCUCAUGUUCAAGGAAAGGGGUCUAUAUGUUUCAAGGAUUUCCUAUGUUAUGUUAUUAAUUAAUGUUAUGUAAUCGCUUAGUUCAUAUUGUAACACUCUGAAGUCCAGGACCUAAUCUAGAGCCUUACAUGAAUAACUAAGACUAAGAAAACUCCUUAUAUGGCUAAAGUAAUAAAUUUAAACUAGUUAGGAAGUGUUAAAUUCUAUACUUCAAGAAAGGUCCAUGACGUUCGGUGAAUUGUGAAAUAUGCACUAAUGUUCCUUGGCAUGUUUCAUGGUGUUUUAUGAUUCGUAAAUUUAUGAAAAUUGGUAAAAAGGUGUUAAAAAAGUAUUAGAAUGUUUUUAGGGGUGAAACGUCCGGGUAAGAUUACCCAAGGACAACCAAAGGGCUCCUUGGUGAGAACCCUUGCAAAUAACCACAAGCUAUCAUAUCGGCAGUGGCCAAACGACGAGGUGUCUAUGGGUCAACGGACCAUCGAUGGAUUAAUAUUUCCAUACUUAGAAAAAUUUUCAAAGUUUUCUAAAAUUCCACUCUCUGUUGUGAACGACGACUUUCCAGCACGGGCUAUCGAUGGCUCUAUGGUUCGUAGGUCGAAGACUCGUUGUUUUAGGCUCUAUUUUGAAUUUAAGAUUUUUAGUUAGUGAAUUAAUUAGUGAGUUGGUUAUUUAAUUGCUUGGGGGUUAAGUGGUGAUUAGUUAAGUUAGUAGGGGCACUAUAUAAGGCCCAGACAAAAUUAAACUAACCCACCACCCCACAAUUCCCAAUCUCAAAUCUCUCUACCUUCUCUACAUUCUCCCUCUUUCCCCAAAGAACACCAUUGGAGACCAAGGUUAAAGGUCAUAUGGUCUGCAAGAUUUCAACUUUCUUUACUAUCAAUUUUCAAGGAUUGUUAAGGUUCGGGCCGCUGAGGUAUCAAGGCCAAUUAAAAGAAUACUUGGAUAUAUUUCCUAACUUGAUCGGUAAGUCCUUAAUGUUCAAGGAUGGUGGCUUCUAUCUAGCCUAUUCGGAUUUGCUAUAGUCAAAAGACAUUCAUUUCUUUCCUAAUGUUGAAGAUAUUGUUGUAAGCAUUAUGUGGCUAUUAUUGAUUUGUAUGAGGGCUAUGCUC